rnacentral:rRNA from 1 species
UACGUAGGGGGCAAGCGUUGUCCGGAAUCAUUGGGCGUAAAGAGCGUGUAGGCGGCCAGAAAAGUCCGCUGUGAAAACUCGAGGCUCAACUUCGAGCUGUCGGUGGAAACUUUCUGGCUAGAGUCCGGAAGAGGAGGGUGGAAUUCCUGGUGUAGCGGUGAAAUGCGCAGAUAUCAGGAAGAACACCUAUGGCGAAGGCAGCUCUCUGGGACGGUACUGACGCUGAGACGCGAAAGCGUGGGGAGCGAACAGG